rnacentral:rRNA from 1 species
UGGGGAAUAUUGGACAAUGGGCGCAAGCCUGAUCCAGCCAUGCCGCGUGAGUGAUGAAGGCCCUAGGGUUGUAAAGCUCUUUCACCGGUGAAGAUAAUGACGGUAACCGGAGAAGAAGCCCCGGCUAACUUCGUGCCAGCAGCCGCGGUAAUACGAAGGGGGCUAGCGUUGUUCGGAUUUACUGGGCGUAAAGCGCACGUAGGCGGACUAUUAAGUCAGGGGUGAAAUCCCGGGGCUCAACCCCGGAACUGCCUUUGAUACUGGUAGUCUUGAGUUCGAGAGAGGUGAGUGGAAUUCCGAGUGUAGAGGUGAAAUUCGUAGAUAUUCGGAGGAACACCAAUGGCGAAGGCGGCUCACUGGCUCGAUACUGACGCUGAAGUGCGAAAGCGUGGGGAGCAAACAGG